rnacentral:rRNA from 1 species
GCGCGCAGGCGGUUCUUCAAGUCAGGGGUGAAAGCCCAGAGCUCAACUCUGGAAUUGCCUUUGAAACUGUAGAACUUGAGUACGAGAGAGGUGAGUGGAAUUCCCAGUGUAGAGGUGAAAUUCGUAGAUAUUGGGAAGAACACCGGUGGCGAAGGCGGCUCACUGGCUCGUAACUGACGCUCAUGCGCGACAGCGUGGGGAUCAAACAGGAUUAGAUACCCUGGUAGUCCACGCCGUAAACUAUGAACGCUAGCCGUUAGGCAGCUUGCUGCUUAGUGGCGCAGCUAACGCAUUAAGCGUUCCGCCUGGGGAGUACGGCCGCAAGGUUGAAACUCAAAGAAAUUGACGGGGGCCCGCACAAGCGGUGGAGCAUGUGGUUUAAUUCGACGCAACGCGCAGAACCUUACCAGGGUUUGACAUCCCAAGACCGCUUCUGAAAGGAAGUUUUCCCGCAAGGGACUUGGAGACAGGUGCUGCAUGGCUGUCGUCAGCUCGUGUCGUGAGAUGUUGGGUUAAGUCCCGCAACGAGCGCAACCCUCGCCUUUAGUU